AUUAAUUCAAUGUCAGUUAUUUUGUAUUGUAUUUAUUGACUAAUUGAUUUAUCUAUUAUUGAUUAUGGCAGUUGUAGUCUUCCAUACAAAUAAAUCCUGUUUUGCUAUUUAAGUUUCAGGGCAGUGCAUCAUGCAUCUAAAUAUUGUUAAAUCUCUUAUCCUUUGUGUUAAUGCCCUUAACGUUUAACUUAACAUCUUUGUUAAACAUGGACUGUUUAUUACACAUUGCUACGGGCCAAUAACCUCAGAAAACAGGCAGGUAAGCGGUGAAGUCUGCUCCUUCUCUCACACCUGGUCUUGUCUGAGCCAUUUUCCUUGAAUGACGUAAUUAAAAAAACGUUGCCUAGCAACCGGCGGUUCGUCUUCUCCUGCUAGCAUGGACCGUUACUGUUCCUGCCAGCUAACCUGCCAAUCAAUACUAGCCUGCUGCCCUCUGCAUGGUAGCCAUUUGGCUACUGUAUCCAUAAUUUGGGUUUUCUGACUGACAAUUGGGUGCACCGGGGAGGAAUAAGCCAGCAGAAUGGACGUCACAGAGGAACAUAUGACAGCGAAGGAGAUGCUUGAGAAAAUAGCUGAGCUGGAGUACAGUCAAAGCCAGCUGAGGGACCUGAACACUGAGAUGAGGCACUGGCUGGAUGUAGCAGAUGAUGAGGUGGCGAUGCUGCGCUCAGAUAACGCGUCCUUCAGGAAACAAGUGAAAGCCCUGGAGAAGAUAAUCAGUGAAGCUCAGCAGGUGGAAGCUGAAACUUGCGGGUCCCUCCUGGGUGAUGACCUCGAUUUACAGAGACGCAGUGAACAAAAGAUUCAGGAAUUGGAAAAGGACUCCGCCAUGAUUAAGGAAGAAAAUAAAAAGCUAACAGCAGAGCUCAAGAGCCUCCAGCAGGAGAGAUGCCGGGACAAAAUCAGCUUAAACGAGUUCAGGGUCUCACUUCAAACCCUCGAGCGUGGGAUUGAAGAGGCUCAGUUGAGGCUGCAGGAAAGGGAUGAGAUCAUUCACCAGAAAGAGUUGCAGUUACAGCACUUGGAGGAAACAGCAGAAGAGUACUCCAACAUCAUAAAGGAUCUCAGGCUGACCAAUCAGGAGCUGAGGAAUCAGUUGGAGGAGAGACAGGAUGAGGCCUCAUUCGCUUUUCUGAAUGACGUGAUGGCAGAAAAGGAAGGAUUGCUCAGUCUGCCUCUGUCCUUCGCAGAGGAAAUGAAGCUGCUUGCAUCUUCGGCCACAGUGUCAGACUCAGGUCACAGACAUGAGGAAACUGAGACUGAGGAGCUGCUGACACCUCAAAGUCUCACAACAGAGCUUCAGACAGAAAGGUGUGCAGGUGUUCUAGUGACAGCAGUCCACAGAGCGGGAAUGUUUGUGCUGUUUGUCGUCACACUCGUCAUGUUGGCCUUUUUGUUAAGAAGCUUGGCUGGACACUCAGACUUUUUUUCCAUCAACACCUUGAGGAGCAGCGCAAACCUGAUUUUACAGCCUUACUGCAGAGUGCAUUACGGGGCCUUACCUCCUAUUUGAGCUAAACUUCUUAAAAACAUGUGAAUCUUUUAUCUAGCUGAUAGUUUUUCAGCUAUAUGUGUUUUCCACUCAGCAGAUCACAAUGCUGAAGGUUUGGUCUUAUUUUUACAAAAACUACUGCAUGAAAUCUCCAAUUGGAAAUGAAUAAUUUUGGAUUUAUUAGCUCUUGGCUCGACUUCAGUAAAAAUAAUUACUCGUUUAACAAAAUAUAUUCAGCACACUAAAGCAAACCAGUAAAACCUCGAAUGAUCUUUCCCACGACAGAAUGUGAAAGUUGUAAAAACACAGGCGUAAAAAUAAAUCAAUUAAAGGGGCUCUGUGUAACAGUUUUAACGCUUCUGGACUAGAUUUCUUUGUGACAGGCUCAGGUAAGAUUUUCCGCGACAAUCCAAAGGAUGUGACUUUAUGCACGUUCUCUACUGCCUCGUCUCAGCGCCUCUCUCCUGGUAGGAAACCUUCAAAACUUAACUAAAAUUAUCAACAGCAUGUGAAGAAAUAAAAGUUCUGACAUUAUGAUGUCAUUGUAUUGUUAGCAUAACACGUUUAGAAUGCUAACCAACUAGCCCUGACACAUCUCGGUCCAAAACUCCUUUGCUAGCGGUAAACACCAACACUUCUUCUGUACUUCCAAACACCUAGUCAAGACAGCUAACUGAGCUAACGUGCUAACUGCAGCUACAGUUGGUAGCAGUCAGCAGUUACCCUGGUUACUAUUUGUUCUGAAUAUGGAUCAAACAAGUGGACAGUUCUUAUGUAUAUCACCUUUUAAUGGUGGACUGUGCCCCAAAAGCAAGCAACUAUUGUACUGUCAUUACGCUACAAUGAUUAUACAGAAGCCCUGAGAGUCCUGUGGGAAGAAAAGAUCUGAUGAUCCAUUUUCUAAGUCUGUUCAAGGUUGAAAAAAUGUUUUACUAGGUAAAUUUUGUCAAGUUCCUUCAAUGAUUCUCCACUUAAAGGACAACAUGAUGUCAUGCUGUUUGACUUUGUUUAUAUGUGGCGGACCCUGCCACCUUUCUAGCUUCAAACAGUGUUCUGAGGGCCAUGUUGUUUGCUUGUUUAUUCAGAUAUGGAAAAGUUAAAUAUGUCUGUGUUUGUUUUAUUACCCUGUUAAUAUUGUAAAUAUUAAAACUCUGAGUUUGAAUUUCUUCUCCAAAACAACAUAGUGCCCCUUUAAGAAAGAAAUCAAUUGUUAGUUAGUUUUAUAUAAAGAGGUUUAUGCUUAUUUCACCCUACAUUUAUUAUGGGCACACUUGAUUUAAGCCCUAAUGUUGAAGGUACACCUCAUUUGCAGUGGCAACACAGUCAAGCCCAGUGAGACAAUCUCAACAAGCAGCUUCGAGCUGUAAAGUCUGACAGUUUAAGACGCAUUACUUAAUGUUAUCAGAUCAUCUCAGCUUCUACACUACAACGUUAUAAAUGUCACUGAAUACUUUCCACAUUCUGGAUUACAUGCACCAGUUAAAGUGUCUCCAUGCCUCCUCGUCUCUUCAGUCGCCCCACCCAGCUGAAGGCGCUCUCUGCUGGUCUCAUCUGUGUGAUUCCAGGAAAACACGUCCCCUCACACAGAUCAGAUUCAGGACAAGACUCGAGUCUGAAUCGAGAAAUAUUUUUUAAAUAUAAAUAUUUAUAUAUAUGAAGAUGCAGGCUGAUGAUUCAUUGUGUGUCAGCUGGAGUUUUGAGCUUGUGCAUGUGGACGCUGCUGCUGCGUCGGUGCUGACAGACUGACUGGUGCUGGAUGCUGAGGUGCUGAUGUCGGGCCGAACCUCUCGAACAUCCCCCCGGAUCGUGGAUGGAGACCAGAGCUAAAAUAUCUCAAAGACGAUAAAUCGGGAAAAAAGAGGAAAAGCAGAGCAGUUUGAUUCAGCGUGGAAGCAGAGGGGAGCGGUGUUUGGAGGAGGAGCGGCAGCGCGGCGACAUGUUCUUCUGAGCG
ensembl:lncRNA